rnacentral:rRNA from 1 species
UGCAGUCGAGCGCCCUUUCGGGGGAGCGGCGGACGGGUGAGUAACGCGUGGGAAUAUGCCCUUCUCUACGGAAUAGCCUCGGGAAACUGAGAGUAAUACCGUAUACGCCCUUUGGGGGAAAGAUUUAUCGGGGAAGGAUUAGCCCGCGUUGGAUUAGGUAGUUGGUGGGGUAAUGGCCUACCAAGCCGACGAUCCAUAGCUGGUUUGAGAGGAUGAUCAGCCACACUGGGACUGAGACACGGCCCAGACUCCUACGGGAGGCAGCAGUGGGGAAUCUUAGACAAUGGGGGCAACCCUGAUCUAGCCAUGCCGCGUGAGUGAUGAAGGCCUUAGGGUUGUAAAGCUCUUUCAGCUGGGAAGAUAAUGACGGUACCAGCAGAAGAAGCCCCGGCUAACUCCGUGCCAG